UGCCGGUCAGAAGAUUAUCCUCCUUACGAACCUUUCGGACAAUUUCUUUAUUCUCUAAUAGCCUUACAUCGAUUGGUUCCGAAUUUGUCGUUGGGCUUUCGGGCGCGCUGGAUCAUGCCGACGAAAAAAGGUCUAGCCAACGUUAGCUUAAUCUCAGGAGAUCAACAAAAUGCCAGCUCGUAGCUGACUGGCUAAUAUUCCCAUUGCCAUGGCAUUGUAGGAACUGGGUGGGGAAGUGUUCUGCAAUCCUCACCUCCUACACUACAGAGAUGCACCUGUUUCAAGAUCUGGUAAGAUGAAGUGAACUACAGCGUAUCUCGGCUGUAGUUUACAACUCCCCUGAGAAUCUCUUCGACGACCUACACAAGAUGGAGGCUAGCGAUUCAUUUGCUGGCGCUAGUUGAGUUAGAGUAUAGGUCAAGGCAUUCGUACCGGCUACGGUCCUUGCAUUGUGUUAAUAUGAAGUUUAGGUUUCACUUAGAAGCGAUAGUUAAAUGGCAAAGCAUAGAUGUUUUGGGUAUCUUUAAACAUGAAUUUAAAUUUGUCAAGUAAAGAAAGACCAUAAUCUGAAAAAUGCAGAAUGAUCUAUACCGAAUAUGGCACCUGAGUGAAUACUUUCUCACGCCUUUUUCCCGAAAAUGCAACUAAGCAGAAAUGAAUUAAUAAGCAAAACGUGACCGUUAGGAAAGAGGCCGUUAAUUUCUCUACUGAAAAUCCAGCUGUGUUACAUAUAGUUAUCUGAACCACUUCAAUGUAUUUACGAUUUUUUUCGACAAAUCCUAUUGAAGGCCCUCUGGCUUGCCUCGCGUUAAUCCAAUGCAAAAUAGUACGAAUCAGCUCGAGCUUAUCAUUUUGUUUUUGGGCAGAACAAGAUUCUUCUUUAAGCAGCAAAAUUAAUAUGUGUCUAUUACGAUAGAUAGCCUGUGAAAGCUUAUCACAAGUGUAGUAUCAUGUGUACAGCCCCCCCCGAGACAAUGUAUGUACAACAUAGUGCAUCAUAACCUGCUGAUUACUUUUCAAGUUUACAAUCAGUUAGAAAUAACAGGUAGGUUAAGGUUGAUAUUUUAACAAGGAAAACGUGCUUUGAACGUAGGAAAAUGUAGCAGAAGUUCAAAGGCAAUAUUGUAGGGAGCUUUGGGCAGAUCCAGUUACGCGCCUUGCAACUAAUCGGCUAAAAGAUAAGGGUGAAGUGGACAAAACUAUUCAGGAUAUCAAUAGACAACGUCCCGGAAGACGACGAACAUCAACAAGCUUUACCAGCCAAGAAAGAGUACAGGAGGUUUAUGGCGAAACAACCAAGAUAUUUGUGAUACCAUAAAGUUGUAAGCUUGACGUCUGUAAACGAGAUGUCCAUCGCGUUUAGGGCGUUAUAAAUGGAAAAGCUCCCAUAGUGGAAUGUUCUAAUCUGAACCUGACAUUAGAAUUCUGCGA